rnacentral:rRNA from 1 species
UACGUAGGUGGCAAGCGUUGUCCGGAUUUACUGGGCGUAAAGAGCGCGCAGGCGGUCGUGCAAGUCGCGUGUGAAAGCCCCCGGCUCAACUGGGGAGGGUCACGCGAUACUGUUCGACUCGAAGGCGGGAGAGGGAAGCGGAAUUCCCGGUGUAGUGGUGAAAUGCGUAGAUAUCGGGAGGAACACCAGUGGCGAAGGCGGCUUCCUGGCCUGUUCUUGACGCUGAGGCGCGAAAGCUAGGGUAGCAAACGGG